UACGUAGGGUGCAAGCGUUAAUCGGAAUUACUGGGCGUAAAGCGUGCGCAGGCGGUUAUAUAAGACAGUUGUGAAAUCCCCCGGGCUCAACCUGGGGAACUGCAUCUGUGACUGUAUAGCUAGAGUACGGUAGAGGGGGAUGGAAUUCCGCGUGUAGCAGUGAAAUGCGUAGAUAUGCGGAGGAACACCGAUGGCGAAGGCAAUCCCCUGGACCUGUACUGACGCUCAUGCACGAAAGCGUGGG
rnacentral:rRNA from 1 species